rnacentral:rRNA from 1 species
GACAACGGGUAGCUGGUCUGAGAGGAUGGUCAGCCACACUGGAACUGAGACACGGUCCAGACACCUACGGGUGGCAGCAGUCGAGAAUCAUUCGCAAUGGGGGAAACCCUGACGAUGCGACGCCGCGUGGAGGAUGAAGGCCUUAGGGUUGUAAACUCCUGUCAAGAGGGAAUAAGCAAGUGACGGUACCUCUAGAGGAAGGGGCGGCUAAUUCCGUGCCAGCAGCCGCGGUAACACGGAAGCCCCGAGCGUUGUUCGGAUUCAUUGGGCGUAAAGGGUGCGUAGGCGGCGCGGAAAGUCCGGCGUGAAAGGCAGAGGCUCAACCUCUGGACUGCGUUGGAUACUUCCGUGCUUGAGGACUGGAGGGGAGACUGGAAUUCACGGUGUAGCAGUGACAUGCGUAGAUAUCGUGAGGAAGACCGGUGGCGAAGGCGAGUCUCUGGACAGAAUCCUGGACGCUGAGGCCACGAACGCUGGGGGGAGCGAACAGGAUUAGAUACCCUGGUAGUCCCAGCAGUAAACGAUGUGAGCUUGAUGUGGGGGGAUUCGACCCCUUCCGGGUCGAAGCGUACGCGAUAAGCUCACCGCCUGAGGAGUACGGCCGCAAGGCUAAAACUCAAAGAAAUUGACGGGGACCCGCACAAGCGNCGGAGUAUGUGGCUUAAUUCGAUGCAACGCGAAGAACCUUACCUGGCCUUGACAUGCAUUGUGUCGUCGGUGAAAGCCGGCUAGUCCUGGAAACAGGACGCUUUGCACAGGUGCUGCAUGUCUGUCGUCAGCUCGUGUCGUGAGAUGUUGGGUCAAGUCCCGCAACGAGCGCAACCCUUGUGGUCAGUUACUAACCGGCUUAGCCGGAGGACUCUGGCCAGACUGCCCUGUCAAACGGGGAGGAAGGUGGGGACGA